rnacentral:sRNA from 1 species
CGCCUUUUUGCUAUGCGCCGAACUCCACGAUUCGAACCUGCAGCAGGUUCGGGUCGAACGCAGUGAGACAACGGAGCCGCUUGCGGCGACGGCCCGAAGGGCGAGGCGAAGCCGAGUCAUCCUGCACGACCCACCA